rnacentral:rRNA from 1 species
CCUACGGGGGGCUGCAGUGGGGAAUGUUGGACAAUGGGCGCAAGCCUGAUCCAGCUAUUCCGCGUGUGGGAUGAAGGCCCUCGGGUUGUAAACCACUUUUGUAGAGAACGAAAAGACACCUUCGAAUAAAGGGUGUUGCUGACGGUACUCUAAGAAGAAGCACCGGCUAACUACGUGCCAGCAGCCGCGGUAAUACGUAGGGUGCGAGCGUUAAUCGGAAUUACUGGGCGUAAAGGGUGCGCAGGCGGUCGAGUAAGACAGAGGUGAAAUCCCCGAGCUUAACUCGGGAAUGGCAUAUGUGACUGCUCGCCUAGCGUGUGUCAGAGGGAGGUGGAAUUCCACGUGUAGCCGU